AUGACAUCAAUUGACAGCGCCAAUCCUUUCGAUCCUUCCCGACUUUUGGACGUGGAGAAGCAUUGCCGGGAAGCGGGUGCAUCGGAGCACACUGCUAUUCACUUCCGGGUGUACAAGUCAGAGCAGAAGUACAUGAUACUCAUGUGCUCUGAUCUAAGAAGUUCUUCAUUGAGACAAGGACUAUACACACCAGCCUAUGGAGGCUUCUUUGAAUUUGAUCUUCAAAAGGAAAAGAAGAUAUCUCUGAGAACUCUGAUUGAUCCGUCAGCGGUGAAGAGCUUUGGCGGUGGUGGCAGGGUCUGCAACAUGGCCAGAGUUUAUCCCAUAGCGGUUGUCGACAGUGGGGCCCACAUGUGUGCCUUCAACAACGGCAGUACCACGAUCAGAGCACGUCCAGGACUGAUAGGGUGCCACUUUUGCAGUUUGAGCAAUACUGAACAACAUACUGGCUGUCAAGUGUCAUUUAUACAUAACAUCAAGACGCCGUCUUACAAUCUCACCGUACAGCCCGUGCGUGCUCCAUUCGAGCAACUCAGCUUUGCACGUCGCUUCGCCGGCAUCGCCACUAACACCAAAGACAACGAGCCAUCAGAACAUCUCCUCUGCCGCAUCAGUGCUGACAGCAAAGACAACAAGCCAUUCAUUAUCUCCUUCCACCUGCCAUGCAUAAAUUAA
rnacentral:rRNA from 1 species